rnacentral:rRNA from 1 species
UACGUAGGCAGCGAGCGUUGUUCGGAAUUACUGGGCGUAAAGAGUGUGUAGGCGGUGCUCUAAGUUCGGUGUGAAAUCUCCCGGCUUAACUGGGAGGGUGCGCCGGAAACUGGAGUGCUCGAACGUGGGAGAGGAAAGCGGAAUUCCUGGUGUAGCGGUGAAAUGCGUAGAUAUCAGGAGGAACACCUGCGGUGUAGACGGCUUUCUGGACCAUUGUUGACGCUGAGGCACGAAAGCGUGGGUAGCAAACAGG